rnacentral:rRNA from 1 species
GACGAACGCUGGCGGCGUGCUUAACACAUGCAAGUCGAGCGGUAAGGCCCUUUCGGGGGUACACGAGCGGCGAACGGGUGAGUAACACGUGGGUGACCUGCCCUUAGCUCUGGGAUAAGCCUGGGAAACUGGGUCUAAUACCGGAUAUGACUCCAUGACGCAUGUUGUGGGGUGGAAAGCCUUGUGCGGCUAGGGAUGGGCCCGCGGCCUAUCAGCUUGUUGGUGGGGUGAUGGCCACCAAGGCGACGACGGGUAGCCGGCCUGAGAGGGCGACCGGCCACACUGGGACUGAGACACGGCCCAGACUCCUACGGAAGGCAGCAGUGGGGAAUCUUGCGCAAUGGGCGAAAGCCUGACGCAGCGACGCCGCGUGGGGAUGACGGCCUCGGUUGUAAC